GACGAACGCUGGCGGCGUGCUUAACACAUGCAAGUCGAACGGAGAAGCGCCUUCCUUUUUGGUGGGUUUGGAGGAGUGGCGAACGGGUGAGUAACUCGUGAGUAACCUGCCCCCUCCUUCUUGAUAACCGCAUGAAAGUGUGGCUAAUACGGGAUAUUCUGGGUCUGUCGCUUGAUGGGUCAAGGACGGAUUUUGUUUCGGUGGUGGAUGGGUUCGCGGCCUAUCAGCUUGUUGGUGUGGUGAUGGCCUACCAAGGCGGUGACGGGUAGCCGUCCUGAGAGGGUGGACGGUCACAGUGGGGAUGAGACGCCGAGAAGACUCCUACGGGCGGCAGUAGGGGGGAUUAUGGCACAAUGGGAGGAAUGAUGAUGCAGCGACGCCGCGGGAGGGAUGGAGGCCGUCUGGUUGUGAACCUCUUUCGCGAGUGAAGAAGGCUGGCCUCGUUUGUGGGUGGGUUGACGGUAGCUGGAGAAGAAGCGCCGGCUAACUACGUG
rnacentral:rRNA from 1 species